AUGGAUGGAAUUACGAGAGUCAGAAU
rnacentral:sRNA from 1 species